UACGUAGGUGACCAGCGUUGUCCGGAUUUACUGGGCGUAAAGAGCGCGCAGGCGGUCGUUCAAGUCGAGUGUGAAAGCCCCCGGCUCAACUGGGGAGGGUCACUCGAUACUGAUCGACUUGAAGGCAGGAGAGGGAAGCGGAAUUCCCGGUGUAGUGGUGAAAUGCGUAGAUAUCAGGAGGAACACCGGUGGCGAAGGCGGCUUCCUGGACAAAAACUGACGCUGAGGCGCGAAAGCUAGGGGAGCAAACAGG
rnacentral:rRNA from 1 species